rnacentral:tRNA from 1 species
GCAGUGGUGAUUCAGUGGUAGAUUUCUCACCUUCCAAGCAAGAGACUCGGGUUUGAUUCCAGGCCAAUGCA